GACGAACGCUGGCGGCGUGCUUAACACAUGCAAGUCGAACGAUGAAGCCAGAGCUUGCUCUGGUGGAUUAGUGGCGAACGGGUGAGUAACACGUGAGUAACCUGCCCCGAACUCUGGGAUAACUGCCGGAAACGGUAGCUAAUACCGGAUAUGACCAAUGAAGGCAUCUUCUGUUGGUGGAAAGAAUUUCGGUUCGGGAUGGACUCGCGGCCUAUCAGCUUGUUGGUGAGGUAACGGCUCACCAAGGCGACGACGGGUAGCCGGCCUGAGAGGGUGAUCGGCCACACUGGGAAUGAGACACGGCCCAGACUCCUACGGGAGGCAGCAGUGGGGAAUAUUGCACAAUGGGCGCAAGCCUGAUGCAGCAACGCCGCGUGAGGGACGACGGCCUUCGGGUUGUAAACCUCUUUUAGUAGGGAAGAAGCGAAAGUGACGGUACCUGCAGAAAAAGCACCGGCUAACUACGUGCCAGCCGCCGCAGUAA
rnacentral:rRNA from 1 species